rnacentral:rRNA from 1 species
UACGUAGGCAGCGAGCGUUGUUCGGAGUUACUGGGCGUAAAGAGUGCGUAGGCGGUUUUUCUAAGUUUGGUGUGAAAUCUCCCGGCUCAACUGGGAGGGUGCGCCGAAGACUGGAAGACUAGAGUGUGGGAGAGGUAAGCGGAAUUCCUGGUGUAGCGGUGAAAUGCGUAGAGAUAUGGAGGAACACCAGUGGCGAAGGCGACUUUCUGGUCUGUAACUGACACUGAGGCGCGAAAGCGUGGGGAGCAAACAGG